rnacentral:rRNA from 1 species
UACGAAGGGGGGCUAGCGUUGCUCGGAAUCACUGGGCGUAAAGGGCGCGUAGGCGGCGUUUUAAGUCGGGGGUGAAAGCCUGUGGCUCAACCACAGAAUGGCCUUCGAUACUGGGACGCUUGAGUAUGGUAGAGGUUGGUGGAACUGCGAGUGUAGAGGUGAAAAUUCGUAGAUAUUCGCAAGAACACCGGUGGCGAAGGCGGCCAACUGGACCAUUACUGACGCUGAGCGCGAAGCGUGGGGAGAAACAGG